ACAUGUCAACACAGACGAGUUUUCCAUGACUUGCUCUGUUGCUUGGACGUUGAAGGCCUGCUGGCAUUUACCAUUGUCAGCUCCUUUUAAAUUCAUUAGCAGGAAUUAUGCAAAACUGGCUUCAGUUUGAUAAAAUUGAACUGCUGUCGAAGAUGCAAUUAUUUUUCCGGCUUCUAACCGUCCGUCAACUGGACUGCCUCUUUGAGGCAAAUCACCAAUGACA
rnacentral:misc_RNA from 1 species